rnacentral:rRNA from 14 species
GGAUUUGAAGGAACCCCCAAUCAAUGGCGGCCUUACCGAUGAGGGUCCUAAGGUAGCGGAAUACCUUGGCCGUUAAAUGCGGUCUUGCAUGAAUGAUUUAACGAUACAACAGCUGUCUCAAUGAUUGGCUCAGUGAAAUUGGAAUAACUGUGCAGAUACAGUUUACCUCUAGUUAGACGAGAAGACCCUAUGCAGCUUUACUGUUGCUAGUUAUUGGAUAUGAUCAAACGAGUUGUAGUGUAUAAGGUAGUUGGUGAG